GUGCUGUUGAGUCCCAUUGGUAUUAAGAUUGCGAUCUUGAGAGCGAUAUAUCCCCAGGCGAGUGACUUAACGGUUUCUGUGAUACAGUGUGAUUGACACAUAGUCAACAUGUCACCGAGACUAGGAUAAUUUCGGGUGAGAGUAGAUAAAUAUCUAAAGGGGAUGGUUUCUGCAAUGAUUCUUGCUUAACAUCUAGAUGGUUCUGGGAAUGCACUGUCGCCAAUGAUGGUGUUGGUUAGAUAAUAGGAUUUUACACCUAUUACCUGAAUAGCGCUCUGAUAUAGGAGCUCCGAGCAUGUGUACUGACACCAGCAGCCCAUGUGCUAUGGAGGGGGAUUUGACCGAAAACUCUGCAAUAAGGCAAAGGAUGCUUUAUGACUCUGAGUGAUUUCCACUACUCGAAGCGUUGGGAUUAUCUCAAAAUGUGACACAAUAAUUGGUGGGCCAUUAUGGUGUCACCCUUUUAGAGAAGACCAAAAAUGCCAGUGGUGGGGAUGAUUAUUAGGAACUACUGUAUAGGUAUCCCGUAUUGCAGAAUUUUCGUGACAGCUGCCUGCUCUACAGACGGGGUGCUUGAGAUACUACACAUCUACGAGGUCCUUCACUCAAACGGCACAUCAUGUAUAGGGGUGAUGUGCCCUUAUCUCAACAACAGCAUGAUUGGCGAAAGUCGAUUGCCAGAGCGAUGUCGGUUUUAACCAAUGACAAUUCCAGAAGCCAAGCGCGAUAGAGACUUAUGCAGACCUUCCUGAGGAUAAUGCAGACUCCUGGACGUGUUGACUACGUGUCAGUGAAGCGCAGGAGAGAAGUGUUAAGUUUACUCGCAGGGGAGAAUCCCCUCAGAUUAAAUUUAAUCGAGUGGGGGGCAGGACAGGGGGAAUCUGCGAAUAUCAUCCACUUGGGGCGGUUCCAGAUGAUCUAAGGGCCAA
rnacentral:rRNA from 1 species